rnacentral:misc_RNA from 1 species
AACGCACCUUGCGCCCUUUGGCUAUUCCGAAGGGCAUGCCUGUUUGAGUAUCAUGAACACCUCAACUCUCGUGGUCCGCCAUGAUGAGCUUGGACUUUGGGGGUCUUGCCGGCCUAGUGUCGGCUCCUCUCAAAUGGAUCAGCUUGCCAGUGUUUGGUGGCGUCACAGGUGUGAUAACUAUCUACGCUUGUGGUCCCCCGCCAUGCAACCUUCAGCGAUGGAGGUUCGCUGGAGCUCACAGAUGUCUCUCCUCGGCGAGGACAGCUUUUUGAACGUUUGAUCUCAAAUCAGGUAGGACUACCCGCUGAACUUAA